CGGGCGGCCAGCGUGGCUGGGCGUGGCCGGGCGCGGCCGGGCUGCCGGGACCCGGACCCUGGCCUGCGCGCUGUGCGGCUGCCAGCUCUCCUUCCUGCUACAGGUGUACGCGCUGCUGCCCCGCCGCGCCGACGCCUUCCACCCCGGAAUCUUCCUCUUCUGCUGCUGAGAGCCGCCGUGCUGUGCCGGCCUGCGAGUUUUUACCAAUCAGCUACCCAGGAAAAAUGAUUUUUCCUCAUAUAGGCCACCUUCUGAGAAUCCUCUCCCAGAAACAGGACAAUCAGUGUGUCUCUAACUUGAGUCUGGUGCUCAUCUCUGCAGAGUUUGUGGUUGUUUAGGACCCAAAACGUGCUCCAGAUGCCACAAAGCGUAUUACUGCAGCAAGGAGCAUCAAGACCCUAGACCGGAGAUUGGCACAUAAGCAGGCUUGUACAGAACCAGAUCAUUUGGACCAUAUAAUUCCAGACCACGACUUCCUUUUUCCAGAAUUUGCAGUUGUAGUAGAAACAGAAGAUGAAGAUUACACCUGAGGUUGUGGAAAAGGAAGAUUACUCAGAGAUUAUAGGGAGCAUGGGUGAGGCACUUGAAGAAGAACUGGAUUCCAUGGCAAAACAUGAAUCCAGGGAAGAUAAAAUUUUUCAGAAGUUCAAAACUCAGAUAGCCCUUGAACCAGAACAGAUUCUCAGAUAUGGCAGAGGUAUUGCCCCCACCUGGAUUCUAGUGAAAAUAUUCCUCAAGAAAAGGAUAUUCCAGAGAAUAUCCUUUGUGAUGCCAAGAAAAUGUUUGAAUUCCAGGUUAUGCCUCAGCUCCUAAACUACCUGAAGGCUGACAGACUGAGCGAGAGCAUUGACUGGGGCAUCCUGGCUGUCUUCACCUGGGCUGAGAGCUGCAUACCGGCUAUACAGAAUAAUUUGUGUGGAAGCAGGAUGUAACAGAUACACUGUAA
rnacentral:lncRNA from 1 species